GAAAGCAUCUAUCAAGUGGAAUUCUAUCGAUCAAGGGCGAGAGUAGGAGUAUCCAACCGGAUCAGAGACCCGGGUAGUUCCUACCUUAAACUAUGCCGACGAGGGCUUAUUUUUUAUUUUAGAAGUAGGACCAUUAGAGAAAUCAAUAGUUCAUGGGCUCUGGGGGAACUACGACCGCAAGGCUGAAAUUUGAAGGAAUUGACGGAAGGGCACACCAGGGGUGGAGCUUGUGGCUUAAUUUGAAUCAACACGGGGAAACUUACCAGAACCAGAUAUUUUUAAUGACUGAUCAGGAUCAAGUUCUUUCAGGAUAUAAUUUUUGGUGGUGCAUGGCCGUUGGUGGUGCGUGGGUUGACCUGUCUAGCGUUGAUUCAGAUAACGAGCGAGAUUAUUACCAAUUAAAUAAUUAAUAAUAUUUUAAAUAUUAUUUUUAAUUUCUAAUUGGGACUCCCUGCGUCUAAGCAGGAGGAAGAGGAUAGCAAUAACAGGUCCGUGAUGUCCUUUAGAUGCUCUGGGCUGCACGCGCGCUACAAUGUUAAAAACAAUAAGAAUAAUUUAAAGCUAAUUUGAAAAGAUC
rnacentral:rRNA from 1 species